UAAUGCAUCGGAACAUGUCCAUUCGUGGGGGAUAGCCCGGCGAAAGCCGGAUUAAUACCGCAUACGCCCUGAGGGGGAAAGCGGGGGACUUCGCAAGAGGCCUCGCGCGAAUGGGUUGGCCGAUGUCCGAUUAGCUAGUUGGUGGGGUAAAGGCUUACCAAGGCGAUGAUCGGUAGCUGGUCUGAGAGGAUGAUCAGCCACACUGGGACUGAGACACGGCCCAG
rnacentral:rRNA from 1 species